rnacentral:rRNA from 1 species
AGAACGUACGCUGGCGGCACGCCUAACACAUGCAAGUCGAACGAAGUAGCAAUACUUAGUGGCAGACGGGUGAGUAACAUGUAGGUAUCUACCCUUUGGCCUGGAAUAACACGAGGAAACUUGUGCUAAUACCGGAUAAGUCUUUACGGAGAAAGCUUUAUGCACCAUUGGAUGAGCCUGCACUUGAUUAGUUUGUUGGUAGGGUAAUGGCCUACCAAGACUGUGAUCAAUAGCUGAUUUGAGAGGAUGAUCAGCCACAUUGGGACUGAGACACGGCCCAAACUCCUACGGGAGGCAGCAGUGGGGAAUCUUGCACAAUGGAGGAAACUCUGAUGCAGCGAUGCCGCGUGAGUGAAGAAGGCCCUUGGGUUGUAAAGCUCUUUCGUCGGGGAAGAAAAUGACUGUACCCGAAUAAGAAGGUCCGGCUAACUUCGUGCCAGCAGCCGCGGUAAUACGAAGGGACCUAGCGUAGUUCGGAAUUACUGGGCUUAAAGAGUUCGUAGGUGGUUGAAAAAGUUGGUGGUGAAAUCCCAGAGCUUAACUCUGGAACUGCCAUCAAAACUUUUCAGCUAGAGUUUGAUAGAGGAAAGCAGAAUUUCUAGUGUAGAGGUGAAAUUCGUAGAUAUUAGAAAGAAUACCAAUUGCGAAGGCAGCUUUCUGGAUCAUUACUGACACUGAGGAACGAAAGCAUGGGUAGCGAAGAGGAUUAGAUACCCUCGUAGUCCAUGCCGUAAACGAUGUGUGUUAGACGUUGGAAAUUUAUUUUCAGUGUCGCAGCGAAAGCAAUAAACACACCGCCUGGGGAGUACGACCGCA